rnacentral:other from 1 species
GAUCGGCGGCGACGUUGGUGACUGCCAAUACUGUUUCUUGAUCUACAUAUUGACCCCAUGAGGGAAUCAGCCCUCUCGUGGCAGUAGACCGGGCAUCGUACUCGGAAACUUCAAGCGAGAACGCCGAAUCCCAUUUGAAUCAUGAGGUCAGAAGCUGAGGUAAGACGGCGUCGCGGUCGCACU